AGCGAACGCUGGCGGCAGGCUUAACACAUGCAAGUCGAGCGGGCAUAGCAAUAUGUCAGCGGCAGACGGGUGAGUAACGCGUGGGAACGUACCUUUUGGUUCGGAACAACACAGGGAAACUUGUGCUAAUACCGGAUAAGCCCUUACGGGGAAAGAUUUAUCGCCGAAAGAUCGGCGCGCGUCUGAUUAGCUAGUUGGUGAGGUAAUGGCUCACCAAGGCGACGAUCAGUAGCUGGUCUGAGAGGAUGAUCAGCCACAUUGGGACUGAGACACGGGCCAAACUCCUACGGGAGGCAGCAGUGGGGAAUAUUGGACAAUGGGCGCAAGCCUGAUCCAGCCAUGCCGCGUGAGUGAUGAAGGCCCUAGGGUUGUAAAGCUCUUUUGUGCGGGAAGAUAAUGACGGUACCGCAAGAAUAAGCCCCGGCUAACUUCGUGCCAGCCGCCGCAGUAA
rnacentral:rRNA from 1 species